GUCCAGGGAUGGGAAUCGAACCCACAAUGUUCCGCUUACCGGGCAGAUGGCAUGUCCUCUAGGCUACCCUGGA
rnacentral:tRNA from 1 species